rnacentral:rRNA from 1 species
UACGUAGGGGGCAAGCGUUGUCCGGAAUCAUUGGGCGUAAAGCGCGUGUAGGCGGCUUCGUAAGUCCGUUGUGAAAGUCCAGGGCUCAACCCUGGAAUGCCGAUGGAUACUGCGGAGCUAGAGUCCGGAAGAGGCGAGUGGAAUUCCCGGUGUAGCGGUGAAAUGCGCAGAUAUCGGGAGGAACACCAAUGGCGAAGGCAGCUCGCUGGGACGGUACUGACGCUGAGACGCGAAAGCGUGGGGAGCAAACGGG